UAAGCAAUUUAGGCAAUAUAAAAAAUAAAUAGACAACACAGACAAGAUAGGAAAAUCGUACACUAACCAAUUUCUAGCUCCACUAGUGACCUGUAAUUAUUUUUAGAAUUUUUCUAAUUUUUCACAAAUAUAAGAUAUUCGAUUAUUAAGCCUCAGUUUACCGUAAUAGGGAGUAGGGUGAGAGAUUCUUACCUAAAUCAGUGUUUCGAAAUGUCGAUCUAUCUACUAUGCAUCUUGAUAGUCCUCGGAU
rnacentral:lncRNA from 1 species